GACGAACGCUGGCGGCGUGCUUAAUACAUGCAAGCCGAACGAAGUGGCGAACGGGUGAGUAAUACGUGAGUAACCUGCCCUCCUUUCUGGGAUAACCCUUGGAAACGGGGUCUAAUACCGAAUAACGGGGGAUGGGCUCGCGGCCUAUCAGCUUGUUGGUGGGGGGAUGGCCUACCAAGGCGGUGACGGGUAGCCGGCCUGAGAGGGUGACAGGCCGCAUUGGGACUGGGAUACGGCCCAGACUCCUACGGGAGGCAGCAGUGGGGGAUAUUGGUCAGUGUGCGAAAGCCUGGUGCAGCGACGCGUGAUGGGGGAUGAAGGCUUGCGGGUUGUAAACCGCUUACGAUAACGAAAGGGUAGGUAGAGAAGAAGCGCCGGCUAGCUUCGUGCCAGCAGCCGCGGUAAUUC
rnacentral:rRNA from 1 species